GGGGGACCUUCGGGCCUCUCACUAUCGGAUGAACCCAGAUGGGAUUAGCUAGUAGGCGGGGUAACGGCCCACCUAGGCGACGAUCCCUAGCUGGUCUGAGAGGAUGACCAGCCACACUGGAACUGAGACACGGUCCAGACUCCUACGGGAGGCAGCAGUGGGGAAUAUUGCACAAUGGGCGCAAGCCUGAUGCAGCCAUGCCGCGUGUAUGAAGAAGGCCUUCGGGUUGUAAAGUACUUUCAGCGGGGAGGAAGGCAAUGAGGUUAAUAACCUUGUUGAUUGACGUUACCCGCAGAAGAAGCACCGGCUAACUCCGUGCCAGCAGCCGCGGUAAUACGGAGGGUGCAAGCGUUAAUCGGAAUUACUGGGCGUAAAGCGCACGCAGGCGGUCUGUUAAGUCAGAUGUGAAAUCCCCGGGCUUAACCUGGGAACUGCAUUUGAAACUGGCAGGCUUGAGUCUCGUAGAGGGGGGUAGAAUUCCAGGUGUAGCGGUGAAAUGCGUAGAGAUCUGGAGGAAUACCGGUGGCGAAGGCGGCCCCCUGGACGAAGACUGACGCUCAGGUGCGAAAGCGUGGGGAGCACACAGGAUUAGAUACCCUGGUAGUCCACGCCGUAAACGAUGUCGACUUGGAGGUUGUUCCCUUGAGGAGUGGCUUUCCGGAGCUAACGCGUUAAGUCGACCGCCUGGGGAGUACGGCCGCAAGGUUAAAACUCAAAUGAAUUGAC
rnacentral:rRNA from 1 species